GGGGUUGUGGUUCAGUGGUAGAGUGCUUACCUUGCCCGUGUGAGGCACUGAGUUCAAUCCUCAGCACCACA
rnacentral:tRNA from 1 species